AAGGGAAGCACAGCAUGGGUGGGUUAGACUAUAAGGGCUUGUGUAGUGUUAGUGGUGAUGGACUUUUUGAGAGAUUCGGCUGAUGAUGCUGCAGGAAAGAUCAUUUCUGUUAAUUGACGCUGAAUUUGCUGAAGCUGCUGGGAAAAGAAGCAGAGAAACUGCUUUCAUUUUUACCACUGGAUAAAGAUUGAUUACGUCUAUACAAGAAUAAUAAGGAAAAGUGCUUGUGGAAACUGUCUUUUCUGAACACCAGUCUCAUCAGCACAGUCCUCAGUUCACUGGAGGUGAGGUAUUUCAACUUAAGCUGUUAUACCCCGCAGUAGAGCAGUUUUUGACUCAGUAAUCACAGUGCUACACUUUAUUUACGAUUUCAAAUAAUUUCUUGCAGAUGCAGUAUAACUGAAACCAUUGUUUUUUUUUUUUGGCAGUUCUAAGAGGACACUUUACACUCUUCAACCGCUAAAAAAUAUAUGUUGCUGCCUAAAUUGUUUUCAGUAUUUUAAAAAUAAACAGUGUCAAUAGCCCUAUAGUCAAUAGCCCCGGCAUUAGUAUUACCUGGUGACCUCCAGUCAUUUGUAAUAAUUGCGGAGAUUGUCUGUGAUUUUAAUCCCGUGCGAAU